rnacentral:tRNA from 1 species
GCUCGAAUGGCGAAAUAGGCAGACGCACAGCACUCAAAAUGCUGCGGGGCAACCCGUGUCGGUUCGAGUCCGACUUCGAGCACCA